AUUGAACGCUGGCGGCAGGCCUAACACAUGCAAGUCGAACGAGUGGCGGACGGGUGAGUAAUGUCUGGGAAACUGCCUGAUGGAGGGGGAUAACUACUGGAAACGGUAGCUAAUACCGCAUACCAUCGGAUGUGCCACGAUGGGAUUAGCUUGUUGGUGGGGUAACGGCUCACAAAGGCGACUAUCCCUAGCUGUGCUGAGAGGAUGACCAGCCACACUGGAACUGAGACACGGUCCAGACUCCUACGGGAGGCAGCAGUGGGGAAUAUUGCACAAGGGGCGCAAGCCUGAUGCAGCCAUGCCGCGUGUAUGAAGAAGUCCUUCGGGUUGUAAAUUACUUUCAGCGGGGAGGCGUGACCCGCAGAAGAAGCACCGGCUAACUCCGUGCCAGCCGCCGCGGUAAUAC
rnacentral:rRNA from 1 species